rnacentral:rRNA from 1 species
AAGACCUUGCGCUUUUGGAGCGGCCGAUGCCUGAUUAGCUUGUUGGUGAGGUAAAGGCUUACCAAGGCUUCGAUCAGUAGCUGGUCUGAGAGGACGGCCAGCCACACUGGGACUGAGACACGGCCCAGACUCCUACGGGAGGCAGCAGUGGGGAAUUUUGGACAAUGGGGGCAACCCUGAUCCAGCCAUGCCGCGUGAGUGAAGAAGGCCUUCGGGUUGUAAAGCUCUUUCAGCCGGAACGAAACGGUUACGGUUAAUACCCGUGACUACUGACGGUACCGGAAGAAGAAGCACCGGCUAACUACGUGCCAGCAGCCGCGGUAAUACGUAGGGUGCAAGCGUUAAUCGGAAUUACUGGGCGUAAAGCGUGCGCAGGUGGUUUUGUAAGUCAGAUGUGAAAUCCCCGGGCUUAACCUGGGAACU